ACACAAUACUAUGAAGCGAUUAUUGCUCAGUCACUCAGUCGUGUCUUAACUCUCUGCGACCUCCAUGGACUGCAGCACGCCAGGCUUCCCUGUCCUUUACCAUCUCCUGGAGCUUGCCCCAACUCAUGUCCAUUGAGUCCAUGAUGCCAUCCAACCAUAGUCCAGUAAAAAAAAAAAAAACAAACAGUAAAAGCAGCAAAAAUUAAAUAAAAAGUUGAGAGUCCUGGGGGCUGGGGAGAGAAGCUGAACCCAAGUUAGGUUCACAAGCAUUUUGUUGCAGUUUUGAUCAGAGGUAGACAAACCAAGCAGUAAAUCACUUAUGAGACUGAGAGAGGGUGGAAAUGUGAAAGAUCUGUGUCUGGCUUUGCUCCUAGGUGUGCAAGGGGUCAUUUGUGAGUUUAAUCCGUUCCCCUGUGUAAGGGGAAUGGAGGUUCCUUGCAAUCAGUGGUUUUCCAGGACGCAGCAGGUGGGGUGAUUGUCUCACCUUCCCUGGUUUCCAGGACCACAGGAUUCAGGUGCCGUCCAGCAUUGUCCUGAGUGCGUGGAAACAACUAAAUGUCCACCGGCAGACGAAUUAACGAAGACUAGGUGUUGUUUAGUCGCUCAGUCGUGUCCGACUCUUUCCAACCCCAUGGACUGCAGCCCACCAGGCUUCUCUGUCCAUGCGGUUUCCCAGGCAAGAGUACCGGAGUGGGUUGCCAUUCCCUUCUCCAGGGGGAGGUGGGGGGUUUCCUGAUGGCUUAGUUGGUAAAGAAUCCGCCUGCCAUACAGAAGACCCCGGUUCAAUUCCUGGGUCAGGAAGAUCCCCUGGAGAAGGGAUAGGCUGCCCACUCCAGUAUUCUUGGGCUUCCUUGGUGGCCCAGCUGGUAAAGAAUCUGCCUGCAAUGCAGGAGACCUGGGUUCGAUCCCUGGGUAGGGAAGAUCCCCUGGAGAAGGGAAAGGCUACCCACUCCAGUAUUCUGGCCUGGAGAAUUCCAUGGACUGUAUAGUCCAUAGGGUUUCAAAGAGUCAGACACCAGUGAGAUUUUCACUUUCUCCAGGGGAUCUUCCCGACCCAGGCAUCAAACCCAAGUGUCCAACAUUGGCAAGUGGGUUCUUUAUUGCUGAGCCACCAGGGAAGCCCAUAUAUUUAAAAGGAGAAAUUAAACCAAACAACCCUUUGCAACAGCCACAGGAGACUGAAGGAAAGUUUCCCCCAGCAGAAAUUUGUGGCGGAAAACUUUGCCUUUUUGAGGGACUGUCAUUACUUAGAUGUUCGCUCUGGGACUUACUGAACAAAAGAACUUUCCAAAGUGACUGUGUUAUGUCGCAGACUAGCUUGUGUCCACCUUCCAGCCUUGUGACUUAUUUUAAUACUUAUUUACUUGUCUGUGCCAGGUCUUAGCUGCAGCAUAUGGGCUUCUUAGUCGUGACACGUGGAAUCUGCUUCCCUGACCAGGGAUGGAACCCAGGUCCCUCUGCUUUGGAAGCUCGGAGUCUUAGCCACGGGACCACCAGGAGGUCCCAUGACUUAUUUCAAUCCUUAGCCUUUGGCUUCUCGGCCGGUGUGUUCAUUUAGACAUGAAACGAUUAUGUGGGCCCGUUCCCGUCUUUUCUGCGUUGAGUGUGUGCUCAGUCGUGUCCGACUCUCUGUGACCCCAUGGACUGUAGCCCACCAGGCUCCUCUGUCCAUGGGAUUCUCCAGGCAAGAAUACUGGAGUGGGUUGCUGUGCCCUCCUCCAGGGGGUCUUCCUGACACAGAGACUGAACCCGGGUCUCCCGCAUCGGCAGGCAGGUUCUUUACCACUAUCAUCACCUGGGAAGCAUUUUCUUUUCUAAUGCCGGUACCCUUUCCCUCCCGUGAAAUUUUAACACCACACUUGUUACACUGUAUGUCUAUUUAAGUGCUGCAUGCCUGUCUGUG
rnacentral:lncRNA from 1 species